UACCGAAUGGUUCUUGGACUUUACUUUCCUUUUAGAAAAAUUCUCUUAAGUCAAUGAAGAAAAAUGUCUUCAAUGACAAAUAGAUCUUAUUUGAAAAACCCAGUAAAAAAAGGGUGGUUUUUUUUUUAGUUCCAUGAUUCAAACCGAGUACCUCUGGCACUGAAAAUAAAUGUCUAACAUUAAGAUGCCAAAGUACAACGGGUACUGCACAAAAUCCCAUAAUAAAAUGUUGUGCAGUCUCUUUCUCCAUUGUUGAAGGAUACUUUUAUGGAGGUGUGAGGGUAGUCUUUCCCUUUGUAUAAAAUAGCAAAAUAGCUUUUUAUAGAAUUUACUAUUUGAUUCUAUAUAUAUAAAGGAAAAGGGAGAUGUUCUGCGACUGACUGUUCAACCCCGAUGAACAACUUAGUUUCAUGAGAAUGUCCCAGCUUGCUGAACUGUUGGAAUCAUGAAAUGAUUUAGAAGCAGAAGGAACUGGCCUUGGAUCUUUAUAUCGAACUGAUAGGUUGACAUAUCGGCUUAGAAGAGAAUAUCCACAGGUCUCUUUCCUUGAUAUAUGCGACAUCAUCUACACCGCUACUUUAUCUGCUGGAGGUGUGGUUGAAUCUCUGGCGACUUCAGAGGAGGAUUCAAAACUGAAACUUUGGCUCAGAAAGCAAGACUUACGCUCCAUCCUGUUGUUAUGCCGUUACUGCACAAGAUUUGAUGAAAACUUUGAUGUAGUGAUAACAUUUACUUGAAGUUGUAUCAGCAUGACUAGUUAGCAUUUGACAUUAUAAUGAAAAUAAUGAGUAACUCUAGAUUUCAAAACUACAUAAUUGUAUCCUUCUGUUCAUUAGUGUUGGUUUUAUUCAUUUUAAUUCUUUUCAUUUGUUAAAAAUUAGUUCCAGUAGAAAGGCAAAUUCUGUGAAUUUUAACAGUGAGACUAGCCACAUAUGACAAGCCAAAUCACUCUCUUUAAUGUGUAAGCAUACAACAUAGCAUGAGUUAUGGUUUUGUUUUCUUUUUAUUGAUAUACAUGCAAACAUUUUUCGGUGCUAAUCAAUGUAUCAAUAAAUAAAAAGCUGAAAUUUUCUUUGACAAAAGACUGAUCUUAAGGCUUUUUUCCAAACCAAGAUGGCUGUUUUGAUUAGAUAGCAAAUAAAUGUACAAUGGUUGAUUUUUGAAAUUAUUAAACCAGACUCUGACUUCU